rnacentral:rRNA from 1 species
GAUGAACGCUGGCGGCGUGCUUAACACAUGCAAGUCGAACGAUGAAGCCCAGCUUGCUGGGUGGAUUAGUGGCGAACGGGUGAGUAACACAUGAGUAACCUGCCCUUAACUCUGGGAUAAGCCUGGGAAACUGGGUCUAAUACCGGAUAGGAGCGCCUACCGCAUGGUGGGUGUUGGAAAGAUUUAUCGGUUUUGGAUGGACUCGCGGCCUAUCAGCUUGUUGGUGAGGUAAUGGCUCACCAAGGCGACGACGGGUAGCCGGCCUGAGAGGGUGACCGGCCACACUGGGACUGAGACACGGCCCAGACUCCUACGGGAGGCAGCAGUGGGGAAUAUUGCACAAUGGGCGAAAGCCUGAUGCAGCGACGCCGCGUGAGGGAUGACGGCCUUCGGGUUGUAAACCUCUUUCAGUAGGGAAGAAGCGAAAGUGACGGUACCUGCAGAAGAAGCACCGGCUAACUACGUG